rnacentral:misc_RNA from 1 species
UCUCCGUAGGUGAACCUGCGGAGGGAUCAUUACAGAGUUCAUGCCCUACCGGGUAGAUCUCCCACCCUAUGUUAUUAUUUCUUUGUUGCUUUGGCGGGCCGUUAGGCUCCGGCCCGACUACCGGCCCCGGCUGGUAAGCGCCCGCCAGAGGACCCAAAACCCUGAAUAUUAGUGUCGUCUGAGUACUAUAUAAUAGUUAAAACUUUCAACAACGGAUCUCUUGGUUCUG